AAAAAUGUAUGAUAACAAAUUACAUACAUGCAUUUGAAUUAAAAACGGGUAUCAGUAUGAUUUAAUUUAUUUACUGAAACGCGAAUAUUGUAUGUUUGUGCCUUAAUUAUAUUGUAAACGGUUACAAUAGCUGUUUUUCUUGCGGAGAUUGUCCGCUUGCGGGACACGCCUCCUUUUGAGGAUCAACCAAUCAGAAGACGAUCGCCGUCGGAAAGAUGUUUGUGGUUUGCAGAAUGGAAAGCACCUUGCUGCGGAAAAUAUUUUCACUUCUACGUGAAAAUCUAACAAGAAAAUUGACCUGUCAAAUACAAGAUACAGAGUGCCAGUCCCACUUUGAUGAAGUAUUAAAAGCAAUGGUUGGAAUAAGGAAAGCUUUAUUAUUUAAACAGGAAACAGUAAUGAAUGAAUAAAGAUUUGUAUCCCUUUUCAAUUCAUCUGAAAACCUGAUUAUUGAGCGGUCUUGCAAAAAAUGUACCUAAGGAGUCAGAU